UCACUCUGGCUUCUCUCCAACGUAUGAUUCUUUCGCCUUUUACUAAAGAAUUCCGUGGAGAGGAGCAGUUCAAUGAGUCUUGAACAUUUUUCGAUAUCCGACUUUGGUCGGUUU
rnacentral:snRNA from 1 species